CAGCUAUUCGGUAUUCGAAAUUGUAAAAGAAUUCGUAAUUAUUUUCAUUACGGAAGACCUUAAAUUUGGUUUACAGUCUUAAAUUCUUCAAAUUUUGACAACGAGGGAUCUGUUUCUGAAGUCAAGAAGUUUCAGGUUCCGAAGUUUCUCGCCAUAUGUACUAGGGUUGUGUUUUUGACGUCCAAAACUGGGUUUGCCGUGUCGAAAAGUAUCUUAACUACUAUGGACCUAGCUAUCCGGAACUAUUUUCUUUCUCUUUUUUUUCCCCCCCUUCCUCCCUGCAGGGCUGCCAUUGGCGACUAAAAAGGCUACUAAAGCGACUAUUUUCAAGCAAUAGCAACUAGGGCGUCUAUUAUAGUAGAAAUAUGAGUAAAAACAACUAAUUUGCAAUGAGUUGCGUAAAAUUAGCGACUUUUUUAAGCCAAUUAGCGACUAAAAUUAAGAAUAACUUGAGUUUCCCUCUUUCCCCCGCGCGUUUCCGUUUUAUCCAAACUUUAUUCUUCCUCACUGCAAUGUCAAAAGCAAGACAGACAUGUUUAACCAAUCAGACUAAUGGAAUUCACACUGCAUGAAUGGUCCUCCUGCUCAUGUAAUAUCUCUGAGGAUUACGUUUCCCCCCCCCUCUUUUAAAUUUAACGAAGUAGUAAAAUAAAAAUAAAAAAUUGUCUUUAAUUACACAAAAUUGGUAGUUAAUUUUUUUAGAGCUAUUUACAAUAGAAAAAGGUAAUGGUGAUAUUCGUUUUGUCGAAUUCUGAUCGUAAUUUUUUUAAUAAGCUUUAAAUUUGGAAAUGCUUCAGUUAGGAAAAGUAAACAAAAUAAAAACUUGAUAUAUGAAUUAAGUUGCAAUAUUUCUAUUUCUUUUCUUCAAAUGUCUAAACUAAGCAGCUGCAAAUUAGAGCCGAGAAAGGAAAUUCGAGUUUCAAAUUCACCUGUUCUAUAGCAGAUAAAAAUAAAACUCGCUGUUUUCAUGCGUAGUGAGACAGAAUAAGGGUCCACAAGUAAUUACAAUUUUGGAUCGGUUUGUUUUGAUGUUCGAUUUGGAAUGUUGAAGUUUGCAGGGACUGCAGACGUCAUAUUUUCCUUACUUUUUCUAUUAUUUCUGCACUCUUCCCCCCCCCCUCCCCUGUUAUAUCCUUUUACUUCUUUUUUCUUUUCUUUUUUAAAUCCUCUCAUUUCUGCUAUUCUUCUUUUAAAAUGCAUAAUGAUAGCCAACAAAGCGAAAUAAUGACUCAAGGUCAAGUAUUGCAACUGUACUUGUUUUUCAAUUCAUUCAUUUUGAAUGGGAGUGUGAGGAGCAGAACACGGUAGAACAUGAUUUCUUAUUAGUACGUCAGCUUCUGUGUCUGCUUGCCAAUUCAUGUUUAACUCAUGAAGUUGCUGAAAAAUUAUAAGUAACAGAGAGAGAACAUGAAAUUGAAUCGGCUAGAAUUGAUAAACUUGUUCAUAAAAGGAAAACAAAUUUAAUUUAUUUAUACUAAAAAUCCCAAGAAAAUGUU